AGGGGUGUGCCUGGUGGGUUUCAUGAUUCAUCUUAACUUAAAGCUUCCCCUCACAAGAGGGAAAAGAAUAUGAAGUUCGAGGGAGCCAGAGCGUGGACUUUGCAUCAACAACAACGCAGAAGAUGUUGUAAAUCAACAAGACGGAGCAGAUAUCAGAAAAGAAACAUUAAGGCGGCGAUUAUGCGAGUAAGGGAAGAGAUGGCAGAGAUUAGUGAAACACAGAGUUCCAUCAGAGAGGGUCAGAGGCAAGUUAGGGAAAAAAAUCGAGAAGAUGCAGAGAGAGCGUGAGCAAUUGAGGAAGGCAACAGAGGUUAUAUCGAAGCAGAGUGCGAGCAUCCAAUUACGUCUAAAUCUCAUGUUGCAAAUAUCAAAAGCAAGAGCUCAAGGCGAUUCUGCUUUGGCCGAUCAUAUUCUCCACUCUCUCCGGCUGGUUUGAUUUCCUCUACCUUCAACACUCUUUAUAUAGUGGUUAUCUCUAUAUAUUAUGUAUAUAUCGUCUGUUUUUCCUAUAUAUGAAAAAUAAAGUUUGGCUGUGUGAUC